GAUGAACGCUGGCGGCGUGCCUAAUACAUGCCAGUCGAGCGAACAGACGAGGAGCUUGCUCCUCUGAUGUUAGCGGCGGACGGGUGAGUAACACGUGGAUAACCUACCUAUAAGACUGGGAUAACUUCGGGAAACCGGAGCUAAUACCGGAUAACAUGUUGAACCGCAUGGUUCAACAGUGAAAGACGGUCUUGCUGUCACUUAUAGAUGGAUCCGCGCCGCAUUAGCUAGUUGGUAAGGUAACGGCUUACCAAGGCAACGAUGCGUAGCCGACCUGAGAGGGUGAUCGGCCACACUGGAACUGAGACACGGUCCAGACUCCUACGGGAGGCAGCAGUAGGGAAUCGUCCGCAAUGGGCGAAAGCCUGACGGAGCAACGCCGCGUGAGUGAAGAAGGUCUUCGGAUCGUAAAACUCUGUUAUUAGGGAAGAACAAAUGUGUAAGUAACUAUGCACGUCUUGACGGUACCUAAUCAGAAAGCCACGGCUAACUACGUG
rnacentral:rRNA from 1 species